CGGGGCGGGGCGGCCGUUGGGGUGCGCGCGCGCUGGGGCCCCCUCCCCUCAGAGCCGCUCGGCAGCCGCGGCGGUAGCAGCAGCGCCGCGUCCUCCUCCUCCUCCUCCUCCUCCUCCUCCUCCUCCUCCUCCUGCUGCUUCCCGUCCUGUCCCCGGGGCACGAUGCAGUUUAUGUUGCUUUUUAGUCGCCAGGGGAAGCUGAGACUCCAGAAGUGGUAUGUCCCGUUAUCUGACAAAGAGAAGAAGAAAAUCACAAGGGAACUUGUUCAAACAGUAUUAGCCCGCAAACCGAAAAUGUGCAGCUUCCUGGAAUGGAGAGACCUGAAGAUUGUCUACAAAAGAUAUGCAAGCCUCUAUUUCUGCUGUGCUAUUGAAGAUCAGGACAAUGAACUAAUAACUCUGGAAAUAAUUCAUCGUUACGUAGAACUUCUUGACAAGUAUUUUGGAAGUGUAUGUGAACUUGAUAUCAUCUUCAAUUUUGAAAAAGCCUAUUUUAUUCUGGAUGAGUUCCUUUUGGGAGGGGAAGUUCAGGAGACUUCCAAGAAAAAUGUUCUCAAAGCCAUUGAGCAGGCAGAUCUUUUACAGGAGAGCCAGAAUGAAGACUGGGGAGGUUUGUCUGAGGAUAUCUUAUGAUUAAGAGCAAUCUAUGACAUUAGCCCUUUUGACCCCCAUCUAAGUGAUUGGAUGCUAAAGAAGCAGAGACCCCACGUAGUGUACUUGAAGAAAUUGGAUUGACAUAAAUCUUCUGUUCCGCUGAUGACAUCUCAGUGUUUCAUACUGUAAAUGUUCACUGCCUUCAUUGUAAUGUUUAGCUAAUGGUGUAAGAUGCUGUUUGUCAGUAUUACUGUUUUGCUAAGCUGCUUCAUUCAGGCCUACAAGAUAAAUUCUCCUUUUGAAAAGGGAACAAGAAACCGAAGUCCAAACACGAUAAACGAAAGGGAAUUAGAUUUAAAUUGACUCAAUGUCUCCUCUGCAUUUACAGAAAAUUUGCAUUUGAUUUCAGUAAGUGUACUGUUUUUAUAAGCAAACUUGACUUCAGGAAAUAAAUGUAUCAUUGCCAUAGCAUAUCUAAAUGAACGGAAACUACAUGGACAACUUCAAGUAUGAAAUGUUAUAUUGUAGAAAUUGUGUUUAUGCAACCAAAGACUUUCGUUCAUCUAUGUUUUUAGUCAACAGCUGUGAUAAUUCUGCUUUCUUUCAGUUGAUGCAUUAAGAUUGGAAAUAACUGUUUACUACUGAAUUUGCCAUUAUACCAAAGAAUCCUCUUAGGAUCUGCAUAUCAAACUGGUUAAAAACUGUUAAGGUGGUAAUGCUUUUUGCAAGAAAGCUGCAAACUGAUCAUUUACUAGCAGCGAAAAUGCAUUUACAUGUAGUUAUCUGAGCAAAUCUGUGCAAGUUACUAUAGUAAAAAGGGAAUGCAUGUAUUUAAAAAUCCAAACAGGGAAACUAUUUUUAAAUCAGUAUUAGCUUGCUCUGAAUAUAAACACACAAAAAAGUAGCCUUUUUGACACUAUAGAGGUAUGUAAUGAAAAUGGGAUACUUUUGAACAUGGAAAGAGGGAGCUUUACAGAAGGGAGUUUUUAUGAUUUUCUUUUGAACUCUACAACUUAAUUUGUAUUUAUUGGUGUUUUAUAGUUAUGCUUUAAUGGGUGUAUAAGCACCUUUAGGAAAAACAGUGUCAGCUUCAUGUUUGAAUACUUUUGACUUACAUGUUUCACGUGGGACACAUCCCUUAUAAAACUCCUACCUGGUGUACAGUGGUAUAACCAACUAAUUUGCAGUGAGAACAUUUAAAGCCAGACUUGUAUAUGAGACUCACUGCAAAUGGGGCAAAGUGAUAUCAGGUGAUAGUUUGACACUUCUCGCAGGCUCUUUAAUUGUACAUUCAAACUGUUUCACUUGAGGAGAUGCGGUUCAUGUAUGCUUUGCAAGUUCUGAGAAGGUAUCGGCACACCUGGGAGUAGCCAAGUUCUGUGUGUGUGCAUGGUCCCUGAGAAUGCCAGGCUUUGUUUCCCUCUUUUCCCUUCCCAGCAAUUUCACUGUAGAAGUCCAUGUUUUGGCUGGGUCAGUUAAGUACGUAGUGCCAUGUAUGUUCUCCCCAAACAGAGCUUUGGCAGGGCUGGUGGAGGCAGCUGUGCAGCGCUAGCAUGUGCAGUUACCCAGCUGCAGGAGAGCCAGGCUGUGGGCCUGCUCUCCUGGGCGCUAAAUGUAACCCACCAGAAGAGGGGCAGUGGUGACAGGCGUGAGUUCCCUGACCCAAGUGCUGGUGGCAGCAGAAGGCAGGGGUGGGUCUGCAUGCCUCAGUGGCAGUGCAGGAGCAGAGCCUGUGAACUCGCGGUGUUCAAUGUUGUCUGCUUAAGCCAUUCCUGGGAUUUGAACGUACCGCAUUGCUAGAGCCCGCGGUUAACGUCAGGCACACAAAAGCAGUGGUUUGCGUUUUCUCUGUGCACAAUGUGCAGGGAUAGAUGAGGUUAAUAUGGUGUUAGAAUACCCCUCAGUGUGAGAUCGAAGCGGUGAAAUUACCUUUAGUCAAACCUGAAGCAAUUUCCUACGUAUUCAGCGUUUUUAAAGUUUACACUGUCACUUGUAUGUGCUUGGCUGGGUUAAGCUUUGUUGUGAUUGUGAUGAAUAAAUUGUUUGACCUCCGUCGUACUGUCACAUUGGUUUAGUUGUAAUAAAUGUCCAUUUUUACACCAUU